rnacentral:lncRNA from 1 species
AAGAAGGCAAUCAGAGACAUUUACUCUAUGUUGGCUCAUUCAAGUAACGUCUAUGUGGCUAGGGCAUACUUAAUGAAAAUUUAUAAUUCUACGAUCUUGGUCAAUCAUCUAUUGAGGAUUAUAAAUGUUACUGUUGGGUAUAAAAUAACCCCAGCCGAAGUUCGUAAGAGGCCGAUCUUCCCAGGGCUCUUCCGGCUUCCGACCUUGUGCGGCGUCUAUCUAAACUUCCUCGGCUGUCCGAGCUUUCACAAUAUCGUCCGGACUCUCCCACCAGUCGACCUUCCACAGUGUCCUCCAGAUUCCUCCAACGGACGAACUCCUAUCGUGCCAUCCGAACUUCUCCAAUAACGAGCUCCUCCAUUCAUCCACUGGACUACUCCAAAUGCUCUCUGGGCUUCACUAUCAGCUAAUUUUCUACAGUGAUCGAUUACUCUCCGAAUCUCUUCCAGACUUCUUCCAGCCACGAUCAACUUUACUCCGAACUUCUUUCGGACUUCGUCAAUGACCGAGCUUCUCCAGCAGCAGGAUUUCUACAGUAACCAGACUCCAUCCAAGUUUCUACGGUGGUCGACUGCCUUCCGAAUUUCAUCCGAGCUCCUACAAGAGUCGAACUCUGUCCGAACUUCUACAACGGAU